GGGGCGUCAAGGGAAAAUAGUGCAUCUGUUUGGCGGGCACUUGUUUCUUUCGUCGACUCCCAGAUGCACGCAAGCUGUCCUUAUAUCGUGAUUGGACACAGAACAUACAACUAUGUAGCUCACUAGUUUCCCCCCAAUACAACAUGCAGUUAUUAACACAACAAUCGAUCUUCUCUACUGGCAAACCCAAACCACGUAGAUUUCUUUUCGUACUAUAGAAGUCUUCUGGACAGUUGUUACCCUCUGGUAAAGCAGCUUUCAUCAUCGAAGACAUCUGAUUGUAAGUCCUCUCUGACAUAUGGCUUUCAGUCUUUAUGCUCAUGAAUUGAG
rnacentral:lncRNA from 1 species